rnacentral:misc_RNA from 1 species
GUGAAUCAUCGAAUUUUUGAACGCAAAUUGCACUCUCCUCGGAGAGUAUGCCUGUUUGAGGGUCAGCCUAAAAAAAAUCGACAUCGUUGCUGUUUUAUGGUGACUUUCGUCGGAGAUGGGUUAUCUUAAAUCUCGGUUUAAGCGACUUAAAAAUUUUUUUUAAGGUUUUUAAGAUUUUUCUUAAGUUUUUCUUUGUAGGUUUAAGUUU